GCUUAACACAUGCAAGUCGGACGGUAGCAGGAGAAAGCUUGCUUUCUUGCUGACGAGUGGCGGACGGGUGAGUAAUGCUUGGGAAUCUGGCUUAUGGAGGGGGAUAACGACGGGAAACUGUCGCUAAUACCGCGUAUUAUCGGAAGAUGAGAGUGCGGGACUGAGAGGCCGCAUGCCAUAGGAUGAGCCCAAGUGGGAUUAGGUAGUUGGUGGGGUAAAUGCCUACCAAGCCUGCGAUCUCUAGCUGGUCUGAGAGGAUGACCAGCCACACUGGAACUGAGACACGGUCCAGACUCCUACGGGAGGCAGCAGUGGGGAAUAUUGCGCAAUGGGGGGAACCCUGACGCAGCCAUGCCGCGUGAAUGAAGAAGGCCUUCGGGUUGUAAAGUUCUUUCGGUAUUGAGGAAGGUUGAUGCGUUAAUAGCACAUCAAAUUGACGUUAAAUACAGAAGAAGCACCGGCUAACUCCGUGCCAGCA
rnacentral:rRNA from 1 species